AGCGAACGCUGGCGGCAGGCCUAACACAUGCAAGUCGAACGAACCCUUCGGGGUUAGUGGCGGACGGGUGAGUAACACGUGGGAACGUGCCUUUAGGUUCGGAAUAACUCAGGGAAACUUGUGCUAAUACCGAAUGUGCCCUUCGGGGGAAAGAUUUAUCGCCUUUAGAGCGGCCCGCGUCUGAUUAGCUAGUUGGUGAGGUAAUGGCUCACCAAGGCUACGAUCAGUAGCUGGUCUGAGAGAAUGACCAGCCACAUUGGGACUGAGACACGGCCCAAACUCCUACGGGAGGCAGCAGUGGGGAAUCUUGCGCAAUGGGCGAAAGCCUGACGCAGCCAUGCCGCGUGGAUGAUGAAGGUCUUAGGAUUGUAAAAUCCUUUCACCGGUGAAGAUAAUGACGGUAUCCGGAGAAGAAGCCCCGGCUAACUUCGUGCCAGCCGCCGCCGUAACAC
rnacentral:rRNA from 1 species